rnacentral:rRNA from 1 species
UAGGGAAUCUUCCACAAUGGGCGAAAGCCUGAUGGAGCAACGCCCGUGUGUGAUGAAGGGUUUCGGCUCGUAAAACACUGUUGUAAGAGAAGAAUGACAUUGAGAGUAACUGUUCAAUGUGUGACGGUAUCUUACCAGAAAGGAACGGCUAAAUACGUGCCAG